rnacentral:rRNA from 1 species
GGACCAAGGAGUCUAGCAUGUGCGCGAGUCAUUGGGACUCUAACUAAACCUACAGGCGCAAUGAAAGUGAAGGUCCGCCGUGCGCGGACCGAGGGAGGAUGGACGGUCCCGAGGGGCCGCCCCGCACUCCCGGGGCGUCUCGUUCUCAAUUUCGAGAAGAGGCGCACCCAGAGCGUACACGCUGGGACCCGAAAGAUGGUGAACUAUGCCUGGUCAGGACGAAGUCAGGGGAAACCCUGAUGGAGGUCCGUAGCGAUUCUGACGUGCAAAUCGAUCGUCGGAACUGGGUAUAGGGGCGAAAGACUAAUCGAACCAUCUAGUAGCUGGUUCCCUCCGAAGUUUCCCUCAGGAUAGCUGGCGCUCGCUUCUCGCGAGUCUCAUUCGGUAAAGCGAAUGAUUAGAGGCAUUGGGGUCGAAACGGCCUCAACCUAUUCUCAAACUUUAAAUGGGUGAGAUCUCCGGCUUGCUUGAACUGUGAAGCCGCGAGAUAUCGGAUCAGAGUGCCAAGUGGGCCACUUUUGGUAAGCAGAACUGGCGCUGUGGGAUGAACCAAACGCCGAGUUAAAGCGCCUAAAUCGACGCUUAUGGGAUACCAUGAAAGGCGUUGGUAACUUAAGACAGCAGGACGGUGGCCAUGGAAGUCGGA